CCGAAAUAUAAUUGGCCAAGGCAUAGUAUAAAACACCAGUGCAGCAAAAGCCACAUUGGAGAGAACACGGAACACAAGCAACAAGUGCAGCAACGGCACUUGGUCUGAUCACCCGAGCAGCCGCUCUCCCCUUCUCCUGCAGAAAAUGUCCUUAAGGCCUUCGCGUAAAAUCCCUCGAAAAUAUUGGUUAGCUCAAUACAGCAUAUGGAGCACCAUAAGGCAUUUCCAUUCUCCUCAGUGUCAUCACGAUCUUGACAGCCAAAUUAUUUUUGUGGCUAUUUGAACAAUGAAGCCAUCUGUGAGGAUGAUGCCAAACCAGGAGAAAAAGAUUCAUUAUUACUUCAAGAUUUAAGGACCUGUUCCUCUCUUCACUCCUCCAGCAAAGAGAAGCUCAUUUAGUCUAGCCUACAGCUUUCAUUUCCCUUCAUCAAUGUCCAGAAGCAGAUGAUGGACAGGCAACAGAGGGACUGAUAGUUGCUUAGUUUUGGUAAAAAUCUCUUUAUACUCAAAACUAUAACUAACUAUGAACAGGGAAAUCCAUAGAAAUUUUGUGGCCUAAGUCAUGACUUAAUUUUUACAGAAUUUCCUGCAGGCAGAUUCAUUAUAACUGAGUUCCAUCACACUGAAGAUUGAUACAAAGUGGUA
rnacentral:lncRNA from 1 species